rnacentral:rRNA from 1 species
GACGAACCGUGCGAACGUUGUUCGGAUUCACUGGGCUUAAAGGGCGCGUAGGCGGCUUGCCAAGUCAGGGGUGAAAUCUUUCGGCUUAACCGGAAAAGUGCCUUUGAUACUGGCGAGCUAGAGGGAGGUAGGGGUGCGUGGAACUUCUGGUGGAGCGGUGAAAUGCGUAGAUAUCAGAAGGAACGCCGGUGGCGAAAGCGACGCACUGGAUCUCUACUGACGCUGAGGCGCGAAAGCUAGGGUAGCGAACGGG